rnacentral:rRNA from 1 species
CCCUUAGAUGUUCUGGGCCGCACGCGCGCUACACUGACUACUUCAACGAGUUGUUUCCUUGAUCGAAAGGUCUGGGUAAUCUUUGAAAGGUAGUCGUGAUGGGGAUAGAUCCUUGCAAUUUUUGAUCUUCAACGAGGAAUUCCUAGUAAACGCAAGUCAUCAGCUUGCAUUGAUUACGUCCCUGCCCUUUGUACACACCGCCCGUCGCACCUACCGAUUGAAUGGUCCGGUGAAUCUUUAGGACUGUGGCUGAGGCCUUGCCUUGUGCGGGUCUGGCCGUGGGAAUUCAGUUAAACCUUACCAUUUAGAGGAAGGUGAAGUCGUAACA